GCACCCUUAGCUCAAUGGUAGAGCAGCUGACUCUUAAUCAGUAGGUUCUAGGUUCGAGUCCUAGAGGGUGCA
rfam:Gemmatimonas phototrophica strain AP64, complete genome.